rnacentral:tRNA from 1 species
GGCUUCCCUGAGGCUCAGUGGUAAAGACUCUGCCUGCCAAUGCAGGAGACACAGGUUUGCUCCCUGAUCUGGGAAGAACCCACACACUGUGGGGCAACUAAGCCUGUGCACCACAAUUACUGAGCUUACGUGCUGCAGCGACUGAAGCCCAAGCGCCCUAGAGCCCACGCUUCACAACAAGAGAAGCCACCACAAUGAGAAGCCCGCGACCACAGCUAGAGAGUAGCCCCUGCUCACUGCAACUAGAAAGAAGCCCGAGCAGCAGUGAAGAGCCAGCACAACCACAAAUAAAUACAUAAGAGUCUUGUUUCUUAGAGUCCCUUGGUUCAGGUGAUGAGCUCAUUAAAUUGGUGGCUUAGCAAUUUCAACUUGACUGUGUCCUUUAGUCAGAAAUCCUGGGGUUAUAGAGACUUUUCAAGGAACAGCCCAGAUCUCAUCUUCGAUCUUGAGUCAAAGCUGUCCUUUGAGGGAUUCUAAUCAUCCCUGGAUUCCUCUGAGGCACUAUUUGUCAAGUCGUUUUUCCCCUCCAAGCCUCUUUCAUUUAGGCAGCCACAUCUUCCCCACAGGCACCCAUUCCUCAUUUUCAAAUCUCCCUGCCUCUCUCGCCUCCAGCUGGUUCCUGAACUUUGGUCCAGCACUUCCAAAGGCACCUCCACCCUCCAGCAAGCCAUCCUGCCCUGUGUCCUGUUUCCCAGCUGAAGUUUGGCUUCUCCAUCCCUCACUCUUCUCCACCUCCAGCUCCUCUCAUGCUCUUCCCCAGGGUGCAGGUAAUGAUGCUAUCUUGACUCAUCUGCACUGAACAGUUGGAGUAAAAUUGAAAAGCGCAC